AACGUAGGAGACAAACGUUAUCCGGAGUUACUGGGCGUAAAGGGCGUGUAGGUGGUUGAGUAAGUCUGGCGUGAAAUUUUUCGGCUUAACCGGGAAAGGUCGUCGGAUACUGCUUACCUGGAGGACGGUAGAGGGGGGUGGAAUUCCCGGUGUAGUGGUGAAAUGCGUAGAGAUCGGGAGGAACACCUGUGGCGAAGGCGGCCCCCUGGGCCGGCCCUGACGCUGAGACGCGAAGGCGUGGGGAGCGAACGGG
rnacentral:rRNA from 1 species